GCCUCCAUGUUCCAGAGCCGGGUUUUCUCCCACGUGGACUGAGGGAGGUGAUCGAGGGCCCUGGUCCUCAGGAAGGCUUCGCAGCCUCUCUGGGUUGCUUUCUCCCCUUUCCCUUGCUUCAGGCAGGGUUGCUACAGCCACAGCUGAGCAGCACGUCCACAACCGUCAUACUUAUAGACACACCAGCACUUGCCAAGCAGAAGCGUGGGAAUGGAGUUCCUCUCAGUCAGCAGCAAGGGGAGGCUGUUUCUCAGAGCCCAUUUUGCUCCCAGCCACGGAGACACACCUGGGAGUGAGCUCCAGUGCUGAGCAGCGAGUGAUAACGUGUAGACCAGCCAGGAUAUGGCAGCAGCCUGUGUCCACUGAGAGAUGAGUCAAGAAGAUGUGGUGUCCCUGUGCAGUGCAGUGGUAUUCGGCCAGAAAAGAGAGUGGCCUCUUGCCAUUGGCUACACCUUGGGUAAGCUUAGAAAGUAUUAUGCUGAAGGCCACAGUCAGACAAGUCAGGGCAGAUACUGUGUGAUGUCCCUGAUUUGUGCAGUCUAAUACCCAGAACCAAUGAACAAACACACCAAAGAGUAACAGACUCAUAGAUACAGGGAGGAAAAGAGGACACCAUCUCCCUUGUUGUCCUGGCUGAAAAGUGAUGCAUUCGGUCUCUCAGUUUUAGAUAUUUGGGGUGAAUCAGCCAUGGCAGAGUUGUCUCUCACAGCCUCCCAUACCUUACACCCUCCCUGCUUGGCUUGAAAUAUUGCAAUGCUCUCAGUUUUCUCCUGGAAUUGUCUCAUGUUCCAUGUGGGCUGGUGCUCACUUUGCUUUCGAGUCAGAUUUCAUGACACUAUCCAGGAACUGGUGUGAUGAGGGGUUGAAUUUUGAGAAGAAUACAUUUAAUCCUAGAGCUUGAGUUACCUAAAGUUUGUUGCUUGAAAAUCAUGAGAUACCUGUUUUAAGACACCCCUCUGUUGAAAGUAGGGUGAGUCUUUGUUUCCUAACUGUUCAGGCAUAGUAAGUUUUGUACGUAUACAAUGACAGGGACACUGUUAGUGAAGAACCAAUGGGAAGAUAAUCAAGUGUACAGAUUGUUGCAUCCAGAGAAAAAUUCUACACGUGGUCAGUGAGUGAAGAAUUUUACAAUUUGAUGAGCAUAUGCUUAGCGUGUGGCCUUUUACAAUUUAAUUUCUAUAACUACCCUCUUUCUUCUGAACAAAUGUUACCUAUGGAAUGUAAAAAUGUCUGGUGCCUCAACUGCUAGAAAUGAGUGGAAAUAGUAUAUCCAUCCAAAAAUGGGAGCCAUUUUAAAUCUGAAUAUAUUAGGUUUUUUGCCUUUCCCCUAAAUGUUGAAUAUCCAUUAUAUUUGGGGACGUCAAAUAAUGUCU
rnacentral:lncRNA from 1 species